UAAGGGAGACGGGGUGGGCGCCAGCGGGAGUCGAGGGUGGAGCGGGGGAGAUCCAGGGAAUGCAGUGGCUUGGGUUAAUGACACCGGUUUCAGGGCUAACGUGCGCCGCUGAGGUGGCGCAAAGAAAGAUUCUUCCUAAGCGGAGCCGUAUGGGGUUGCGGUGAGCUGCCUUCCAACCCCCCAACCUCUGGAGGGCAGCCUCGGGAUUGCAGCUGCCGCCGGUUCCCACCUGCGCCCACAGCCCUGUUUCGCUUUGCUACUGCCUGACUUUUCCUCUCCCACUGGGGUACAACAGGGUCUGCCCCCUCACUGCUCAACCACACCCCCACACCCCCCGCCCCAUGGACACACACACCCCGUUGGGAUGUUGGAAAGUAGAUGCUCUGCUGCGUGAAGCUUUCAACCGUGUUUUUUCAACUCGUGCACGGAUUGCUUUCUGCUAUAUGUGUUGCCUGCAAAUGUGUGCAGGAAUGUGUAUGUUGUCCUCAUUUUCUUAUACUGUUAACAGGAUAAACAUUGCCAUAUAGCAAUAAAGCACUGGUGAAUAAUGUA